GGGGGUGUAGCUCAGUGGUAGAGUAUCUGCCUGGCAUGUGCAAGGCCCUGGCUUCCAUCCCCAGUACACCCA
rnacentral:tRNA from 1 species